AUUACAUUGGGCCCACCCAGAUGAUCCAGGAUAGUCUCUCUAUCUUAAGGCUUGCUUUGACGGGAGGAUCAGGACCGGUGAUACUUGUUUCAGUGAAAGCAGGAGUGUGAAUACCAUCCCUGAAGUGCUCCCAAGAAAACCCAGACAUUCUUCAGAUCACACCCAAACUAAGCCCCUCUGCAAACUAAGAACAGUCGUGAGUAGCCAAUCUGCCCCCACUGGUAAAGAGCCUUAGGUUCAAGUCCCAGGCUUGCAACUUACCGUGUGACCUUCAGUGAUUCCUCUCGCGUCUCUAGACCACAGUUUCCUAGUGGGGCAGGAGGCAGCCUCGAUCAUCCCACAGAGUAUGGUGACCCUCCACCAACCAAGCUACCAGAUCUAGGUGAGACACAGGAUGGCGACCUAUUUGCGUUGGCUAAUAUCUUUAAGAAACUCCAGUGAUGGACAGCAAAUAAGAAUGAAAAGAAUGAAAGGUAAAGAGCGUUCAGCUGCUGACAGCCGGCGAUGGGCUUACCCCAUGAACAGUUCAUAAGCGUGACAGCUCCCAGCAGAGCUUCUUGUGCAAGCCUGGUA